UGGCUGAGCGGUAAAGCGCUUGGCUUUCGAGCCGGGGGGCCCGGGUUCGAAUCCUGG
rnacentral:tRNA from 1 species